UUUUUUCACUUAGCAUGUAUCAUCUUAGGUUGGGUGUACUGGGUAGGUCUGAUGACCUGGGUUUAGUCAGAUAAUACAUGCUAAGUUUUUCCUGGAUUUAUUAAUAAAAUGAUUUUGCUUAUAAAAAAAAAAGUGAAGUCUAGCAUUGGGGAGCAUGAAUCAAGCUUCCUCAACAUAAAUUUGGAUUGCAUUUAGACUUUGAGUUGGUGGUACUAAAAUAUAAAGAAUUUUUGCAUGGAAAGGGAUCGUAACCUUUCACUCAAAGGAUUCAAUAUUGGAGUCAGGAAGUUGUUCUGUUUUUAUAUCAUCAAAUGUAGCAUCAUCACAUAACAGAGUAUGUGGAACUUUGCUUUUGAUUUUAUUAGCAAACAGAAAGAAUUUCAAUAAUAACAAUAACAACAUCUCUGAUUGCGGAAAUCAACUUCAACGGAAUUUUUGUGCAUGAAUUGAUUAAAAAUGUGAAAGCUUUGAUCUAGCAGCUCCAUUUUUGAAGAAGAUAAUGGUCUUAGCUUUGCACCAAUUUGGCAUUUCUAUGGUGUCUACCUGUAUUGUUCAUUUCUUAAUACCAUCAAAGCCAGUUUGAUUAUGGUCUUAAAAUAGCUCAUAAGAUCAAACAUAUUAGAGAGAGAUUAUAUGAUAUUGUCUGCAGAAUGAUGAUGAAGCUGUUGCUCUUAGUCUCACUUGCUGUUUGAUAAAUCUUAUUUUCUCUUUUCAAAAGCAAUAAGUUGAUUUCACAGAUUGCAGCGCGGAAGUUGUUCUGUUUUUGUCUCAGCAACAGAGCAUAGCGUCAC
rnacentral:misc_RNA from 1 species